GAUGAACGCUGGCGGCGUGCCUAAUACAUGCAAGUCGAGCGAACAGACGAGGAGCUUGCUCCUCUGACGUUAGCGGCGGACGGGUGAGUAACACGUGGAUAACCUACCUAUAAGACUGGGAUAACUUCGGGAAACCGGAGCUAAUACCGGAUAAUAUAUUGAACCGCAUGGUUCAAUAGUGAAAGACGGUUUUGCUGUCACUUAUAGAUGGAUCCGCGCCGCAUUAGCUAGUUGGUAAGGUAACGGCUUACCAAGGCAACGAUGCGUAGGCGAACUGAGGGGGUGAUCGGCCACACUGGAACUGAGACACGGUCCAGACUCCUACGGGAGGCAGCAGUAGGGAAUCUUCCGCAAAGGGCGAAAGCCUGACGGAGCAACGCCGCGUGAGUGAUGAAGGUCUUCGGAUCGUAAAACUCUGUUAUUAGGGAAGAACAAAUGUGUAAGUAACUAUGCACGUCUUGACGGUACCUAAUCAGAAAGCCACGGCUAACUACGUG
rnacentral:rRNA from 1 species